rnacentral:tRNA from 1 species
GGGAGUUUAGCUCAGCUGGUUCAGAGCACCUGCCUUACAAGCAGGGGGUCACUGGUUCGAAUCCAGUAAUUCCCACCA